CACCGGAGCUGAGCAGCGUGACAGGGGAAGAGGGAGAUGGGGAUAUGAAAUGCCAGCAGCAGCCACCCAUGCACAGUGACUGAGGGAUUAACACAAUGAUGCUUGGGGAGAAGCAGCUAGUCCUGAAAUCUACAACUGGAACUUUGAGUGUUUGUCCCUAGAAUUUGUUAAUCAUCAUAGCAAAGCAGACGCAUACAGAUUUUGACAAUUCACUCCUGGGUGAGGUAUGUCCACCAGCUAGAAGACCAGAAGUGUCCCAUGACUGAGACAAGAUGGUGACAAUUUCUCCACUACGUCAGGGUGUGGAAACUUCUCCAAAUUUGUCCCCUCCACCAUCACCACAACCUGAAAGAGAUGCUGCUAGGAGUAUCCUCAACACCAUAUCAGCUUUUGACAACAGGCAGGUUGAGAUUUUAAAAAUACAGAUCCAACAAAAUCGUCAUAUUCCAAGACAAUUAGGACAGUUUUGACACACCCUUCUCACUACCAACUACAACAGCUGCUCAGCAGCACUGAUUUGAUAGCAUGAGUCAUAAAUAAAAUAACUACAUUUAUUAGGCUGGAAGAAUAACAAAUAAAUGCCAGAUGAAUACUGCAUGAGGACAUACAAAUCCAUUGCGAGAUUUAAGCAGCAGUAUCACAAUGUUAGGAACACAGGUACUAAGCUACUUUUACCAGAAGAAGAGUAUCCACUUCUUUAAGCUGCUCAUCUUAAAGCUUCCCAACAUCAUCUCCGCCCACGCAUGUCUUUUGUGAGUGGACUGGCCCCACAGCCACAAACCCAAAGAACCAUCACCUGCCACAGUUGGUAGUAGAAAAAAAUAUAUUUUUGUUGUACAAAAUCAUCUUGUUAGUCUGCAAAAAUAUUGUUUGGAAAUGGUUUGGUUAAUUGCAAACAU